AUUGAACGCUGGCGGCAUGCCUUACACAUGCAAGUCGAACGGUAACAGGUUAAGCUGACGAGUGGCGAACGGGUGAGUAAUGUAUCGGAACGUGCCCAGUCGUGGGGGAUAACUGCUCGAAAGAGCAGCUAAUACCGCAUACGACCUGCGGGUGAAAGCGGGGGAUCGCAAGACCUCGCGCGAUUGGAGCGGCCGAUAUCAGAUUAGGUAGUUGGUGAGGUAAAGGCUCACCAAGCCGACGAUCUGUAGCUGGUCUGAGAGGACGACCAGCCACACUGGGACUGAGACACGGCCCAGACUCCUACGGGAGGCAGCAGUGGGGAAUGUUGGACAAUGGGCGCAAGCCUGAUCCAGCCAUGCCGCGUGCGGGAAGAAGGCCUUCGGGUUGUAAACCGCUUUUGUCAGGGAAGAAAAGGUUCUGGCUAAUACCUGGGACUCAUGACGGUACCUGAAGAAUAAGCACCGGCUAACUACGUG
rnacentral:rRNA from 1 species